rnacentral:siRNA from 1 species
UGCCAAGUCUAGCUCUAAUGAUGC